rnacentral:misc_RNA from 1 species
GGGCAGUCAGCAGUACCGU